GGGCACAUAGUGUAGUUGGUUAUCGCGCCCGCUUCGCAUUCAAGUUGCGGGAGGUCUGGAGUUCGACUCUCCAUGUGUCCA